rnacentral:rRNA from 1 species
UACGUAGGCAGCAAGCGUUGUUCGGAGUUACUGGGCGUAAAGGGUGUGUAGGCGGUUCUUUUAAGUUUGGUGUGAAAUCUCCCGGCUCAACUGGGAGGGUGCGCCGGAAUACUGAGGGACUAGAGUACGGGAGAGGAAAGUGGAAUUCCUGGUGUAGCGGUGAAAUGCGUAGAUAUCAGGAGGAACACCGGUGGUGUAGACGGCUUUCUGGACCGCCACUGACGCUGAGACACGAAAGCGUGGGUAGCAAACAGG